rnacentral:rRNA from 1 species
UACGUAGGGUGCAAGCGUUGUCCGGAAUUAUUGGGCGUAAAGAGCUCGUAGGCGGUCUGUUACGUCGGCUGUGAAAACCUGGGGCUCAACCCCGGGCCUGCAACCGAUACGGGCAGACUUGAGUACUGCAGGGGAGACUGGAAUUCCUGGUGUAGCGGUGGAAUGCGCAGAUAUCAGGAGGAACACCGGUGGCGAAGGCGGGUCUCUGGGCAGUAACUGACGCUGAGGAGCGAAAGCGUGGGGAGCGAACGGG